GACGAACGCUGGCGGUGUGCUUAACACAUGCAAGUCGAACGGUGAAGCGCCUUCCUUUUUGGUGGGUGUGGAUGAGUGGCGAACGGGUGAGUAACACGUGAGUAACCUGCCCCCUUCUUCUGGAUAACCGCAUGAAAGUGUGGCUAAUACGGGAUAUUCUGGGUCUGUCGCAUGAUGGGUCUGGGAAAGAUAUUGUUUCGGUGGGGGAUGGGCUCGCGGCCUAUCAGCUUGUUGGUGGGGUGAUGGCCUACCAAGGCGGUGACGGGUAGCCGGCCUGAGAGGGUGGACGGUCACACUGGGACUGAGACACGGCCCAGACUCCUACGGGAGGCAGCAGUGGGGAAUAUUGCACAAUGGGCGCAAGCCUGAUGCAGCGACGCCGCGUGAGGGAUGGAGGCCUUCGGGUUGUGAACCUCUUUCGCCAGUGAAGCAGGCCUGCCUCGUUUGUGGGUGGGUUGACGGUAGCUGGAUAAGAAGCGCCGGCUAACUACGUG
rnacentral:rRNA from 1 species